GACGAACGCUGGCGGCGUGCUUAACACAUGCAAGUCGAACGGAAAGGCCCUGCUUUUGUGGGGUGCUCGAGUGGCGAACGGGUGAGUAACACGUGAGUAACCUGCCCUUGACUUUGGGAUAACUUCAGGAAACUGGGGCUAAUACCGGAUAGGAGCUCCUGCUGCAUGGUGGGGGUUGGAAAGUUUCGGCGGUUGGGGAUGGACUCGCGGCUUAUGAGCUUGUUGGUGGGGUAGUGGCUUACCAAGGCAUUGACGGGUAGCCGGCGUGAUAGGGUGACCGGCCACACAGGGACUGACGUGCGGGCCAGCGUAAUCCAGGAAGCAUCAGUGCGGACUAUUGCACAAUAGACUGAAGCCUGAUGAAGAAACGCCGCGUGCGGGAUGACGGCCUUCGGCUUGUAAGCCGCUUUCGCCUAUGACUAAGCGUGAAUGACGGUAAUAGGUAAAGAAGCACCGGCUAACUCCGUG
rnacentral:rRNA from 1 species